GUAUAGCUCAGUUGGUUAGAGCAUGAUACUGCUAAUGCCAAGGUUGCAGGUUUGAUCCCCAUAUGGGACA